rnacentral:sRNA from 1 species
GUUACCUUUAAUCCAGUCCUGUGAGGCUGGCAAGGUGGAACAGAUUAGGUCUGUUAAAAGGAUCAACCACUGGGAACAGUUACCCAGUGGCUCUAUUCUUUCGAUGCAAACACCUUGCCCAUCUUAAGGCAAGGUGUUUUUUUCUU